GAUGAACGCUGGCGGCGUGCCUAAUACAUGCAAGUCGAGCGAACGGACGAGAAGCUUGCUUCUCUGAUGUUAGCGGCGGACGGGUGAGUAACACGUGGAUAACCUACCUAUAAGACUGGGAUAACUUCGGGAAACCGGAGCUAAUACCGGAUAAUAUUUUGAACCGCAUGGUUCAAAAGUGAAAGACGGUCUUGCUUUCACUUAUAGAUUGAUCCGCGCUGCAUUAGCUAGUUGGUAAGGUAACGGCUUACCAAGGCAACGAUGCAUAGCCGACCUGAGAGGGUGAUCGGCCACACUGGAACUGAGACACGGUCCAGACUCCUACGGGAGGCAGCAGUAGGGAAUCUUCCGCAAUGGGCGAAAGCCUGACGGAGCAACGCCGCGUGAGUGAUGAAGGUCUUCGGAUCGUAAAACUCUGUUAUUAGGGAAGAACAUAUGUGUAAGUAACUGUGCACAUCUUGACGGUACCUAAUCAGAAAGCCGCGGCUAACUACGUG
rnacentral:rRNA from 1 species